CAGGGUUGUAUCAUAACCAACCUGUAUGGUUUAGAAGUAUGGGUAUGAUACGACCUG
ensembl:miRNA